rnacentral:rRNA from 1 species
CUCGUAGGUGGCCAACUAAGUCAGACGUGAAAUCCCUCGGCUUAACCGGGGAACUGCGUCUGAUACUGGAUGGCUUGAGUUUGGGAGAGGGACGCGGAAUUCCAGGUGUAGCGGUGAAAUGCGUAGAUAUCGUAAGGAAGACCAGUGGCGAAGGCGGGUCUCUGGACAGUUCCUGACGCUGAGGCACGAAGGCCAGGGGAGCAAACG